UACAAGGAGAAGUUGGCACUCUGCAACCUGAAAGAGGUUUCUCACCAGAUCCUGUCCUUACUGGUACCUUAACCUCAGUCUUCAGCCUCCAGAACUUUUUUUCUCUUACUUUUCCUGCAACUUAUGCCACUGACUUCUUCACUGUUAAGGUAGACCAGACAGAUGAUCCUCUCUACACAGGCUUUAAUACUGGAACUUACAGAGGAAGGAGGCCAAGACUCAGUUGGAAACAAUCAAAGACUAAAAUCCUGCCGUUAAGAAUAAGUGAGAAUCAGAGAAUCAAGAAAACUUCAAAGAGUUGCUGGGAAUAAAUAAAUGGACAUUUUUGAAUGAA